rnacentral:rRNA from 1 species
UUGCCGGCAACCGGCGCCCGGGUGAGUAACACGUAUGCAACCUGCCCGUCUCAGGGGGAUAAUCGUCGGAAACGGCGUCUAAUACCCCGUAUGAAGCUGGACGGCAUCGUCUGGUUUUGAAAGAAUAUCGGAGACGGAUGGGCAUGCGGCGCAUUAGCUAGUUGGCGGGGUAACGGCCCACCAAGGCGACGAUGCGUAGGGGUUCUGAGAGGAAGGUCCCCCACACUGGUACUGAGACACGGACCAGACUCCUACGGAAGGCAGCAG